rnacentral:rRNA from 1 species
AAUAGAUACCCGGGUAGUCCACGCCGUAAACGAUGAGUGCUAAGUGUUAGGGGGUUUCCGCCCCUUAGUGCUGCAGCUAACGCAUUAAGCACUCCGCCUGGGGAGUACGGUCGCAAGACUGAAACUCAAAGGAAUUGACGGGGGGCCCGCACAAGCGGUGGAGCAUGUGGUUUAAUUCGAAGCAACGCGAAGAACCUUACCAGGUCUUGACAUCCCGUUGACCACUGUAGAGAUAUAGUUUCCCCUUCGGGGGCAACGGUGACAGGUGGUGCAUGGUUGUCGUCAGCUCGUGUCGUGAGAUGUUGGGUUAAGUCCCGCAACGAGCGCAACCCUUGAUCUUAGUUGCCAUCAUUUAGUUGGGCACUCUAAGGUGACUGCCGGUGACAAACCGGAGGAAGGUGGGGAUGACGUCAAAUCAUCAUGCCCCCUUAUGACCUGGGCUGCAAACAUGCUACAAUGGCCGGUACAGAGGGCGGCCAAGUCGUGAGGCGGAGCUAAUCCCUUAAACGCCAUUCUCAGUUCGGAUUGUAGGCUGAAACUCGCCUA